CACUGGUGAGUAACACGUAUGCGACCUGCCCCCUACAGGGGAAUAACCCGCGGAAACGCGGCCUAAUGCCCCAUAGUCCCGUCAGGCCCAUGCCUUACGGGGGAAAGGUCCGCCGGUAGGGGAUGGGCAUGCGGCGCAUUAGCUGGUUGGCGGGGCAACGGCCCACCAAGGCUACGAUGCGUAGGGGCUCUGAGAGGAGUGUCCCCCACACUGGCACUGAGACACGGGCCAGACUCC
rnacentral:rRNA from 1 species